rnacentral:tRNA from 1 species
CGCGCGCUGACCGAUCGGUUAGGUGACGGAUUCUGAAUCCGUUCAGACAGGUUCGAUUCCUGUGCGCGCUGCCA